GAAGCAACGCGAAGAACCUUACCAAAUCUUGACAUCCUUUGACCACUCUAGAGAUAGAGCUUUCCCCUUCGGGGGACAAAGUGACAGGUGGUGCAUGGUUGUCGUCAGCUCGUGUCGUGAGAUGUUGGGUUAAGUCCCGCAACGAGCGCAACCCUUAAGCUUAGUUGCCAUCAUUAAGUUGGGCACUCUAAGUUGACUGCCGGUGACAAACCGGAGGAAGGUGGGGAUGACGUCAAAUCAUCAUGCCCCUUAUGAUUUGGGCUACACACGUGCUACAAUGGACAAUACAAAGGGCAGCUAAACCGCGAGGUCAAGCAAAUCCCAUAAAGUUGUUCUCAGUUCGGAUUGUAGUCUGCAACUCGACUACAUGAAGCUGGAAUCGCUAGUAAUCGUAGAUCAGCAUGCUACGGUGAAUACGUUCCCGGGUCUUGUACACACCGCCCGUCACACCACGAGAGUUUGUAACACCCGAAGCCGGUGGAGUAACCAUUUAGGAGCUAGCCGUCGAA
rnacentral:rRNA from 1 species